rnacentral:rRNA from 1 species
UACGGAGGGGGCUAGCGUUGCUCGGAAUCACUGGGCGUAAAGCGCACGUAGGCGGCUUGUUAAGUCAGGGGUGAAAUCCUGGAGCUCAACUCCAGAACUGCCUUUGAUACUGGCGAGCUUGAGUUCGGGAGAGGUGAGUGGAACUGCGAGUGUAGAGGUGAAAUUCGUAGAUAUUCGCAAGAACACCAGUGGCGAAGGCGGCUCACUGGCCCGAUACUGACGCUGAGGUGCGAAAGCGUGGGGAGCAAACAGG